rnacentral:ncRNA from 1 species
UGAACUAUGUCUGGGUGGGGUGAAGCCAAAGGAAACUCUGGUCAAGGUCUGUAGCAGUCCUGACUCAUAAAUCGGUUGUCCACCUGGAUUUAGGGGGUGAAAAGCUAUAGAA